rnacentral:tRNA from 1 species
GUGGCCUUAGCUCAGUUGGUAGAGCACCUGACUGUUAAUCAGGUUGUCGCUGGUUCGAGUCCAGUAGGCUACG